AUUGAACGCUGGCGGCAGGCCUAACCCAUGCAAGUCGAGCGAGCGGCGGACGGGUGAGUAAUGUAUGGGGACUGCCCGAUAGAGGGGGAUAACUACUGGAAACGGUAGCUAAUACCCCAUACUAUCGGAUAACCCAUAUGGGAUUGGCUAGUAGGUGAGGUAAUGGCUCACCUAGGCGACGAUCCCUAGCUGGGCUGAGAGGAUGAUCAGCCAAACUGGGACUGAGACACGGCCCAGCCUCGUACGGAGGAAGCAGUGGGGAAUAGUGCACAAUGGGCGCAAGCCUGAUGCAGCCAUGCCGAGUGUGUGAAGAAGGCCCGAGGGUUGUAAAGUACUUUCAGUCGGGAGGCGUUACCGACAGAAGAAGCACCGGCUAACUCCGUGCCAGCAGCCGCGGUAAUUC
rnacentral:rRNA from 1 species